rnacentral:rRNA from 1 species
UGCAGUCGAACGAUGAACCGCUUUCGGGCGGGGAUUAGUGGCGAACGGGUGAGUAACACGUGGGCAAUCUGCCCUGCACUCUGGGACAAGCCCUGGAAACGGGGUCUAAUACCGGAUAUGACUGUCCAUCGCAUGGUGGAUGGUGUAAAGCUCCGGCGGUGCAGGAUGAGCCCGCGGCCUAUCAGCUUGUUGGUGAGGUAGUGGCUCACCAAGGCGACGACGGGUAGCCGGCCUGAGAGGGCGACCGGCCACACUGGGACUGAGACACGGCCCAGACUCCUACGGGAGGCAGCAGUGGGGAAUAUUGCACAAUGGGCGAAAGCCUGAUGCAGCGACGCCGCGUGAGGGAUGACGGCCUUCGGGUUGUAAACCUCUUUCAGCAGGGAAGAAGCGAAAGUGACGGUACCUGCAGAAGAAGCGCCGGCUAACUACGUGCCAGCAGCCGCGGUAAUACGUAGGGCGCAAGCGUUGUCCGGAAUUAUUGGGCGUAAAGAGCUCGUAGGCGGCUUGUCACGUCGGUUGUGAAAGCCCGGGGCUUAACCCCGGGUCUGCAGUCGAUACGGGCAGGCUAGAGUUCGGUAGGGGAGAUCGGAAUUCCUGGUGUAGCGGUGAAAUGCGCAGAUAUCAGGAGGAACACCGGUGGCGAAGGCGGAUCUCUGGGCCGAUACUGACGCUGAGGAGCGAAAGCGUGGGGAGCGAACAGGAUUAGAUACCCUGGUAGUCCACGCCGUAAACGGUGGGCACUAGGUGUGGGCAACAUUCCACGUUGUCCGUGCCGCAGCUAACGCAUUAAGU